rnacentral:misc_RNA from 1 species
GAAAUGCGAUAAGUAAUGUGAAUUGCAGAAUUCAGUGAAUCAUCGAAUCUUUGAACGCACCUUGCGCUCCUUGGUAUUCCUUGGAGCAUGCCUGUUUGAGUAUCAUGAAAUCUUCAAAGUAAAUCUUUUGUUAACUCAAUUGGUUUCUACUUUGGUAUUGGAGGUCUUUGCAGCUUCACACCUGCUCCUCUUUGUUCAUUAGCUGGAUCUCAGUGUUAUGCUUGGUUCCACUCGGCGUGAUAAGUUAUCUAUCGCUGAGGACACUGUAAAAGGUGGCCAAGGUAAAUGCAGAUGAACCGCUUCUAAUAGUCCAUUGACUUGGACAAUACUUUUAUGAUCUGAUUUCAACUCAGGUAGGACUACCCGCUGAACUUAAGC